rnacentral:rRNA from 1 species
GGCAGUGGAGACAUUGUCCUUCAGUUAGGCUGGCCCCAGAACAGGUGCUGCAUGGCUGUCGUCAGCUCGUGUCGUGAGAUGUUGGGUUAAGUCCCGCAACGAGCGCAACCCUCGCCCUUAGUUGCCAGCAUUUAGUUGGGCACUCUAAGGGGACUGCCGGUGAUAAGCCGAGAGGAAGGUGGGGAUGACGUCAAGUCCUCAUGGCCCUUACGGGCUGGGCUACACACGUGCUACAAUGGUGGUGACAGUGGGCAGCGAGACAGCGAUGUCGAGCUAAUCUCCAAAAGCCAUCUCAGUUCGGAUUGCACUCUGCAACUCGAGUGCAUGAAGUUGGAAUCGCUAGUAAUCGCAGAUCAGCA